AGGUCGACGGGCCUUGAUCCCGUAAUNNCUUCUAAUUAACAACUAAACACCCAAGCCAGCGGGCUUCAACCUANGGC
rnacentral:tRNA from 2 species